rnacentral:pre_miRNA from 1 species
UUUCUACUCCCUCCGUCCGAAAAUACUUGUCAUCAAAAUGGAUAAAAAUAGAUGUAUCUAAAACUAAAAUACGUCUAGAUACAUUUCCUUUUAUCCAUUUUGAUGACAAGUAUUUCCGGACGGAGGGGGUAUUUG